CCAAAACUCACCAAUGGUCAUCAGAUAUUGAUCAUGACCAAAAUAACAAGACCCUGGAUACCAGAAGCUGCAAUUAGCAUUUUGUCUAGUGUGACUGGCCUCUGCCUUGGAGAUAAGGGCUGGAGACAUGGAGCAACUGGAAACACGAGGACUGAGAAACAAACUGGCAGGACAACCGGAGGGAUCAAGCAAAGACAGAGAUAUUUAAGCUUGAGAGGCGAUUACUGAACAAGGAGCGUGGUUAAUUGGCAACAGGGUGCGGUUGCAGGGAAAGGCAAGUAACUGAAGUUAAACUGAGGAAAUAGGAGAAAAUGUCUGACAGACUACAUAAAGAACCAGGGAAGCAAAGACACAGAAGAUUCAUACCAAAAGGUGACAAAUCAACUCUGAAACAAGAGCUACUGGAAAACAUUAAGGGCCACUGGAGCUGGAGGACCGAGGAUGUGACAGGUUCACAUCAUUCAGCUGGAGGACUAUAUGAGGGUGGCUCGCCAGCGCUUCUACGCCUGAGUGUUUUGCCCUCUGUGGUAGUAACUACCUGGCCAAUUCUCCAGCUUGUAAUCUUGAAAAAACUCUCGUAUUUCGAAAACCUUGACUAACCUCCUGUUUCCCUUGUCCCAAGUUGACCAAGCCACGCUCCUUGCUGGAGACACCACAGAAGAAUAAUCAGAAGAAGAAUAUGGACUCUGGAUCGUUUCCCAGCUGGCAGCCGGUCCCAGCGAUUCCUCCCACCUGACCAAGCGAACACUGUCCACCCUCCAACGGCCUCGCCUGGACCACCUGAAGCUCCAGCAGACCCGGUGCUGCCAUGCUGCUUCCAGACUCUCAACCUCUUGCCCGGGUUGAUUGACCCCCACUCGAACCCCUGCCGGCCGACCAGGUUUCCACGCUCCACAUUACCUUCCUUGUGCUAAAUACAACUGGAACUGGGUAGGGAAUGGAAGGUCGCCAGCUGCACGGGAAGAGAGAGAGGCAAGUAUGGUUUCUUUCUGGGGGUGUAAUGACAAAUCAGUGAAACGGAUAAUGUUGCUUACAGGUUUGAAGGGGUGGAAGCCGCCAGAGGAAGGAAUGACAUGGAGCCAAGGAAGUAGGUGUUCCCGGGAGUCCAGGUUCCGGAGUCCGAGCUGGAUAGGAAUACACAGGUCCAAGAUCCCUCCUACGGGCCUUAACAGGACGUGGUAGUCAGAGCACAGAGAGACUUGAUCCUUGGACUCACGGUGGAGCGUGUACAGGUUCGUUCCUGGUGUGGAGUGAUCCAGAGAGUGGAGGCAGCCAGCUAACACUUGGUCCAAAGAGCUAGUUAGUGUGGCAGAGAAUCUUGGGUGAGAGCAGAGAUCUUUCCCAGCACUUGGAGUCAGGGUCUCAGGAGGCCUAGGAAGGAUCAUACAAGAAACUGGAUUACUAUACCAGACCUAACCUUUGAAGAAUUCUAAUCUACCUGGAUGUUUUGCUACUGGAGAAAGGGUUUCCUAGCCACAAGGAUUGUAUUCGGCUUACCAACACUUUGCUUCCUAAGGGACUGCUGGCGGCCAAUCCGACGGAGCUUUUCCUGGAUCAACUACGAACCACCACAAGCGAACCCUAACCCUAACCCUCUCCACCCUCCCACAUUAUAACAUCAUCAGCCAAACCUCUGAGUCACCUCAAGUUAAUCCAAGUACCUACCAGCUUCAUUCAUCUCAGUGUGCAGUUUCCAUUGCUGUCUCGCCCCUCCUGGCGGAUCAAACUCAACCCCUUAUUGUCUUCCGGUUCCAGCUCCACUCCCACUACCUGUUCCCUGUAAAAUAAACCUUUGUAAACAUAA